ACUCCUACGGGAGGCAGCAGUGGGGAAUAUUGCACAAUGGGGGAAACCCUGAUGCAGCCAUGCCGCGUGUGUGAAGAAGGCCUUCGGGUUGUAAAGCACUUUCAGUAGGGAGGAAGGUAGUGUAGUUAACACCUGCAUUAUUUGACGUUACCUACAGAAGAAGCACCGGCUAACUCCGUGCCAGCAGCCGCGGUAAUACGGAGGGUGCGAGCGUUAAUCGGAAUUACUGGGCGUAAAGCGCAUGCAGGCGGCCUGUUAAGUCAGAUGUGAAAGCCCGGGGCUUAACCUCGGAAUUGCAUUUGAAACUGGCAGGCUAGAGUCUUGUAGAGGGGGGUAGAAUUUCAGGUGUAGCGGUGAAAUGCGUAGAGAUCUGAAGGAAUACCAGUGGCGAAGGCGGCCCCCUGGACAAGACUGACGCUCAGAUGCGAAAGCGUGGGGAGCAAACAGGAUUAGAUACCCUGGUAGGAUAGCG
rnacentral:rRNA from 1 species